rnacentral:rRNA from 1 species
UACGGGAGGCAGCAGUGGGGAAUAUUGCACAAUGGGCGCAAGCCUGAUGCAGCCAUGCCGCGUGUAUGAAGAAGGCCUUCGGGUUGUAAAGUACUUUCAGUCGUGAGGAAGGUGUUAAGGUUAAUAACCUUAGCAAUUGACGUUAGCGACAGAAGAAGCACCGGCUAACUCCGUGCCAGCAGCCGCGGUAAUACGGAGGGUGCGAGCGUUAAUCGGAAUUACUGGGCGUAAAGGGCACGCAGGCGGUUAAUUAAGUUGGAUGUGAAAUCCCCGGGCUUAACCUGGGAAUGGCAUUCAAGACUGGUUAGCUAGAGUCUUGUAGAGGGGGUAGAAUUCCAUGUGUAGCGGUGAAAUGCGUAGAGAUGUGGAGGAAUACCGGUGGCGAAGGCGGCCCCUGGACAAAGACUGACGCUCAUGUGCGAAAGCUGGGGAGCAAACAGGGAUUAGAUACC